rnacentral:rRNA from 1 species
CGAGGGUGCAAGCGUUAAUCGGAAUUACUGGGCGUAAAGCGAGUGUAGGCGGCGAUAUAAGUCGGAUGUGAAAGCCCUGGGCUCAACCUGGUAAUUGCAUUCGAUACUGUAUAGCUAGAAUUUGAGAGAGGGAAGUAGAAUUCCGGGUGUAGCGGUGAAAUGCGUAGAUAUCCGGAGGAAUACCAGUGGCGAAGGCGGCUUCCUGGCUCAAAAUUGACGCUGAGGCUCGAAAGCGUGGGGAGCAAACAGGAUUAGAUACCCGAGUAGUCC